UUUUGUAAGAUCAAUAUAUAAUUGAGAUAGCUGAAGAGUAUUAUGAAAAUCCAAGUUGGUUUGAAAAAGUAAUAACACUUUUUAAAGUUGGUUUUCUAAAUUUUGUCCAACAUGAAAUUUCUAGCUUUUUUACCCAUUGAUUAAAUCCUUAAAUUUGACAGUAAUAAAACAAACUACCAAAUAACUUUGCAUUUUGUAAGAUCAAUAUAUAAUUGAGAUAGCUGCAGAUUUUUUAUGAAAAUCCAAGAUGAUUUGAAAAAAGUUAAAGAAAUUUUUAAAGGUGACUUUUGGAAUUUAGUUAGGAGUGAAAAUUCUAACUUUUAUAAAUUCUUAAACCUGUGCUUCACCUUAGUGGUUUAUCACACUAAGUACCAGUACAUUUUAUACACGAAUAUAUUCUAUAAAAUUGAAAACAAAU